GAUGAACGCUGGCGGCGUGCCUAAUACAUGCAAGUCGAGCGAACAGACGAGGAGCUUGCUCCUCUGACGUUAGCGGCGGACGGGUGAGUCACACGUGGAUAACCUACCUAUCAGACUGGGAUAACUUCGGGAAACCGGAGCUAAUACCGGAUAAUAUAUUGCACCGCAUUGUUCCAUCGUGAAAGACGGUUUUGCUGUCACUUAUAGAUGGACACGCGCCGCAUUAGCUAGUUGGUAAGGUAACGGCUUACCCAGGCAACGAUGCGUAGCCGACCUGAGAGGGUGAUCCGCCACACUGGAACUGAGACACGGUCCAGACUCCUACGGGAGGCAGCAGUAGGGAAUCUUCCGCAAUGGGCGAAAGCCUGACGGAGCAACGCCGCGGGAGGGAUGAAGGUCUUCGGAUCGGAAAAUUCUGUUAGUAGGGAAGAACAAAAGUGUAAGUAACUAUGCACGUAUUGACGGUACCUAAACAGAAAGCCACGGCUAACUACGUG
rnacentral:rRNA from 1 species